CCGGAACCCGAGGCCCGGCCUGGGGCGCGGCUGCUGGGCGCUAGGCCCGCGACGCUGAGGUGCGCGCGCCCCGGGCGGGAGGAGGGGCUGCACCGCCUGGCGAAUGGGAGGGGGACUGGCAGGCUCUCCCUUCCCAAGGGAGGUCGUCCUGUCGCCCUAGACUAAACCCAGGAAGGCUUUUAAAAGAAGCAGAGUCUCCGCGGGGGGAAGCUUGUUCCCUGAGAGGUGGCCGCAGACGAACCCACUGCUCAGUCUGGCAUCCCGAAGCCGCUCCGCUCCUGGCUCUCCCCGCUGUUCCUGCGCGCAGCGGGGGCAGUGCCCCCACACCCACGCGUGAUGGGAAGGCCGGCCUGGGGGUGGGAAGGCCCACCGAAAUAGAUGGUCCCCACACCUCACUGCUUCCUUGGAUGUGGCUAUUUUUUAUGCCAGUGUUCUCCUGCUCUGACCCUACUUGAACUUGACCGCAACCGGCCCCGCCUUGCAGGCCACCCUCCCGCAGCAGAAAACUGUGCGGAGCUCGCGCUGUCCUCGCCUCCGCUGACCCCACCUCCAUGUCCUCACAGACACUAUUUUUUCACAACACAGCUCAGAUCCCACCUUCUUCAUGAGGUUAUUCAACAAACACUAUUAAACUUGUAAGAUGUACCAGAUCCUGAGUUGGAGGCUGAGAGGAGGACAAGAAAACUGCUCCCGUAGCCUAGAGGGAGGGAGAGUCGCUUAAACCACCUGAUGCAGAAUGCUGAGUGCGGAGACCAGGAGGGUCCAUCUGAACCUCAGGGUCCUCUAGGAUACCCAGGACCUCGAGGGUUAAGGGAACAUCGGGUGGUGAUGGCCUCCAUGAUCCCCCAGAGAAAGGGUGUGACUUGAGUGCCUUCUUCCUCUGUGCUCCCCAGGGAGCAGCAGCAUCAGAGUGCUCCCAGGGUGCCAAAGGGACACACUGGACCAACUGGAGACCCUGGGCCCCCUGGAUUCACAGCUGACAAUGGAUUGAGGUGGGUAUAGAAGAAGUCAAGGAAAAGCCCCUGUCAUGAAGAGUUGGAUGGAGACAGGCACAGAGUGGCCGCAGGUCCAAGCAGAGUGAACAUGCGUCCAAACUGGCAGUGGCAGCCCCUAGAAGGGAGACACCAACAGCACCGAGAUCUGUGGUCUCCAGAGCUGACAUCUCCUGCACUUGCCACGUGCAGGCGCUGUGCGGGACCUCCUCUCCAUCCUGUGAGGGUCUCCCUGAACUCAGGGUCCCAAUGGAUUUCCUGGCCCCAAAGAGCCCCUGGGCACCCUGGGAAUGACAAGCUGCCGGGACACUCAGGCCAGAGAGGAAAGGUGGAGAGAACGGCUCCCAGACCCUGGAGUUAAGUCUGUCUGGCUCUCUUCUCUCAGUCACACACCCCUGCCUCUGGCUCGCAUGUCUGGAACAGGGUGUCCAUGGGGUUCAAGGGAAGGAUGUUCCUGGUCUGAGGGGCUUCCCAGGAGAGAGAGGCCUCCUAGGCACUGCUGGUUCCCCCCUAGGGAGUGAGGUGCAGCAGGAUCAAGGGACCCAUUGCCCCCCGCCAGGGUGCCCAGGCCCUCAGGAACCCCCUGGAUCAGCAGGAGAGACAGGGUGAAAAGGGCCCCAUUUGUCUGCCUGGCUGUGAUAGGGUGCAGAGUCCUGUGUGACUUCCUGGUCCUGCUGGGCCUCCAGGUGUGGCUGGAGAAGAUGGAGACCAAGAGGAGAACCCCAGAGAACCCGACCAAUCUUCUCUCCACAUGAGAGGGCUGAGGGCCCUCCUGGACCCCCUGGACUCACUGGUCCAUGGAACAGCCUGUAGCAGUGGGAGCAGAUUGGGAGCCCAGAGCUCAGGGACCCCAGGGACACUUUGGAGCCAGAGUGUGGGGAGCCAAAGGCAAUAAAGGUAGAACAGGAUUCAUGAAUCUAUAGGGACUACCUGGACCCAGUGGCACUGGUGGUCCACAAGAUCCCCUGGGAGGUGUUGGGGCCCUGGGUCCCCCUGGAGAGAAGCCAGGAGAGUCAGGAUCUCCAGGAAUCCAGGGUGAGCCGGGUGUCAGGGUCUUGGUUUUCCUGGAGACCCUGGCCCCCCAGGAGAAGGUGGCUCAUGACCAGGACAGUGUUAACGGUGACUAUGGCAAGGAUGGUGAGCCAGUACAGCCCGUGAGUGACCAAUGUCCCUGCCACCCCCACUGAGCUCCAGCCUUCAGCCCCUUACCCCUCUUUUCUGUGCCCUACUCCUGAGGGGUCCCUUAGCUGGAGGCCAACACUCACCCACCCCAAUUCCUCUCAUUCUGUGGAUCCUCUGGUCCCACUGGGGAGAAUGGACUACCUGGACCACAUGGAAAGCAGGGUCAGCUAAGAAUAGCCAUGACUCAAGGGUCAGCUAAGAAUAGUCAUGACUCAAGGGUCAUUUAGGACACAGGAAGAUACCAGAUGAGGAAACUCUCCCCAAGUCCUAAACUCAUUCACAAAUUAGAACACAUAGGUCCAGCCCAGGCACAGUGGCUGAAGCCUGGAAUCCUCCCGCUUCCUGCUUCGGGAGACCAAGGCAAGAGGAUCUCUCGAAGUGUGAGUUGGAGGCCAGCUUGGGCGACACAAUCAGGAAAAGCAAGUGGCCACCAGGUGGCGCCCAAGAACUGGGCCCGAGUUCCCUGGGAGGAAUCUGCACGCAGCCCUGGGAUGGCACAGGGAUGCCUCACGGGACACCUGGCCUCGUCCUGGUAGCCCCUUGCUUGCAUUUCCCGGCCCUGGGGUGUCCUCCCCGACUGCACAUGCAUGUAGAGACCAUUCCUCCUUCUCCAAAGAGGGAUUUGGAACAAUUCUCACAUGACCUGACGAGGGACAGUGGCUGUGCUCAGGGUCCCUCUUUUGUCCUCAGAGCAUGACCAGGCCUGUGGCUCUUGCUCAUUGCCCAAGAGCAUGGGAGGUUGCCCGUGGCAAGGCCCUGGAGGACCCUGCUGUGCUGCCUGGGACCAGGAGGCCCGGCUGCCUUCUCCCAGCACCUCUCCCAGUUAGGGUACUGUGCAGGAAAUGGGUGCAGAGGCCAUAGUGGUGGCUGCUCCUGGGGUCCCAGCAGCUCUAGCUGAGGCAGGAGGAACCAGGGAGCCCAGGAGGCUGAGGCCCCUGUCCUACUGCUCUGGUCGUGCUGCAGUCUCUGUCACCACCAACAACUGCAGUGAGGUGAGCCACUGGGCUGCAGGCUCUAGCCUCCAGCCUGUGACAGAUGCCUCCUCUUUCUGACUCCUCCUGUAGCAGGGCACGGAGAAGCUCUCGCUCAUCGCUGCCUCCUACCACUCCGAACAUGCUGCAGUCUCGUUGACCACGCUGCAGUCUUGGUGGCCACCACCAACUGCAGGGAGCCUGGCCAGGUGCCGCAAGUUGCAGCCUCCACCUCCUCCUCUAAGUCGGGCUUGGAGCAGCAGCGGGAGCAGUCACAGAAGAGGCUGGAAUGGUGGAAUGCACCCUCAGUAUGCAUUAUAUAUAGAGGUUUCGGCAAUGAGGGCCUGGACUUUGUGUUCUGAUUGGAUGGGGGAAACCUCUAGGCUUUAUCUUCAUGCCCUGAUUGGUUAUCCUAAGAGUUGCUCUCAUCCAGUCUUCUUUAUAAGUGGUCAUCUUUGUAAGUUCAUGCCCACUGGGAGUUACUGAAGUUGUGAAUGAUUACAUUUAAACUUAUCCUGUAAUUUUAGUCUGAUUUAUUAAUUCCACCUAUCUCCUUAAGCAAAUUAUUCUCUAUAGUGAUGACCCAAGCAAAUUCCUGUCCCAAGAUGGUAUCAAGAUGAUACCCAAGUUCCUCUCCAGAAUGGUAUCUGGAUAUAUGUGGAGGGAAAUAUUUUUUCUAGGCCUGUAUUAAAUAUGGCACUAAAGCUUAGUGGCUUAAAACAAUACACUGUUAUUAUCUCACAGCUUCUGUGAAUAAGUAGUUCAGGAGAGUGUAGCUGGGUGAUUCUUGCCAAGAGUCUCAUAAGGUUGCAGUCAAUCUGUUGGUGAGAAUUGUAGUUACUUGAAGACUUGGAGUUGAAGAAUUUAUAUCAAAGAUGGCUUACUUAUGGCAAUUGGAUGGAAGCCCCAGUUUCAGAAUGGCUGCUGGCAACAGGUCUUUUUACUUGCCACAUGGACCUCUCCAUAGGCUGACUGAAUGUCCUCCCAAUGUGUCAUCUGGCUUUCUCCAGUGCAAAAGAUCAAAGAAGAGAGUAUGAAGGAACCCGUAAUGCUCUUUAUAAUUUUGUCACAGACCGUCACUUCUGCCAUACUCUAUUGUUUAGAAGUUAGUCAUUAAGUCCAGCCCACACUCAAAAGAACGAGAAUUAACCUCCACCUUUGGAAGAGAGGCUAGUCAAAGCACUUGUGGACAUGUUUUGAAACCACAAAGGGGUAUGGCUGCCAGUCUCCAAGAUGGCCGCCAGUGAUUCUCAUCAGCUGUUAUUAAUACAUUUGUAUAGUCCCUUCCCACAAGAAAAAAGAGUUGAUCUGUUUAAUUAGUAUUAUUUUGUUGAAAUGACAGAGUCUGACUUGCAAGUUUAGGUCAUAAGAAGAAUUUUGACUUCUGCCUUAUUCUCUAUUGGAUCAAUAUCCCUAGGGGAAGCUAGAUGCAAUGUCAUGAAAUCAUUCAAACAGUCCCAUGGAACAAUCCAUCUAGCAAGGAACUGAUAUCUCCUAGCAAUAGCUGGCAUUAACUUACAAGUCGUAUGAGUGGGCCAUCUUAGAAUUGGAUUCUUCAGUCCAAAUCAAGUCUUCAGAUAACUGUAGCCCUGGCUGACAUCUUGAUUACAUCCUCAAGAGAGACCCUGAGCCAGAAUCACUCAGUUAAGCCACUGAGUUCUUUUUGCCAAAAACUUUUUUUUUACCAAGUUCUUUUUGCCACCAACUUUAUUGAGGUAUAAUUGACAAUUAAGAUUGUAUAUAUUUAAGGAAUACAACUUGAUGAUUUGAUAUACACAUACAUUGUGAAAUAAUCGUGAUAAUUAGGUUAACAUAUUCAUUACUUCACAUAAGUACCAUUUUCGUGUGUGUGUGUGUGUGUGUGUGUGUGUGUGUGUGUGUGUGUGGUGAGAACACAUGAGAUGUAUCCUCUUAGAAAAUUUCAAGUAUACAAUAUAUUAUUGUUAACUACAGUCAUAUUAUUGUAUACUAUGUCUCCAGAACUUAUUCACCUUGCGUAACUGAGAUGCUGUACCCUUGACCAAUGUCUCCCCCUUUUCUUCUCCCUCCAGCCCCUGGUAACUACCCUUCUACUUUCCAGUUCUAUACAUUUGACUCUUUUAGAUUCCACACAUAAGUCAAAUUUUUGACCCUUAGGAGCUGGGUGAAUAAUAAAUAUUUAUUGUUAUUUUCAGCCUUAUGAUUUUAAGUUAAUUUGUUAUGCAGUAAUAGAAGUUGCCACAUGAAGCUAUGACACUGGUUAACUCAUUUAUUCAGUAAACAUUUGCUAAGAGCAGACUAAGUGCCAGGAUCAAUUUUAUAAUUGGGGGUACAGGGUUAAGUCAAAAUGGCAGACUAGAAGCAGAUCAUGUGCACUGCUGUCAUGGAGAGGAAACAAAAUGGCUAGUGAACACUGAUCUUGCCAUGUGAUCCCCUAAGAAACCACAUCAGCAUCCAUGAAGGCAGCAAGGGGACACAGAGAGGAGAGAGGAGUGAAGCUGAGCAGCCCAUCUGUGAUCAGCAUGGAGCUAGAAGAAGCUCCCAAACAUAGGGAAAGAGUAAGUGAUUGAGAGCCCCUGGGGGAUUCACAGUCUUCACAGGGACCUGUGCAAGCCUUGGAACAGGAGAAUCUCUUUGACCCACUCCCUGCACCUCUAAGCCAAUGCAGAGAGCCACCCAGAGUUUUGUGGAGGCAACUCUCAAGUCCCUAGGGACUGCUGGAAGCCUUGGACCCUGGAACAGACCAGCACCAGUGCCAUAGCCCCAACAGAGGCUGCAGUCAUGGUACCCGAGGGCAGUAAGAUUGCUCCACCCCAAAUCACUAGACAAAGUUCAGCACCAGCCUCUGGCCCAAUGGUCCUGCUUCUGUUUUCACUUCACCAACAGGUUCAGCCUCCUGUUCCUCCAGGAAACACCCAAACAACAGGAUAGGCAACUUCACCCAAUCCCUGCCAGUUGUAGCCAGGCAGGCCAUACCUGCUAGAGCUUCCAGCCCCGUGGUACCACUUCUGUCUGAAUUCUGCUGACAAGCACAGUCUCUUGUUCUCCUAGGAAACACCUUAAUGGCAUGGUGAGUGACUCCACCCACUGCCACUGCUCAAGGCCAGCAGCCCACACCUGCUAGAGUUUCCAGCCCAACAGUCCUGCUUUUAUAUGAACUCUGCAGGUGGGGGCAACUCCAUGUUCCCCUGGGAAGCAGCUGGACAGCAGAUUAGGUGACCCCACUCAUCCCUGCAACUCCUAGCCAAGCAGUUCUUGCUGGCUUGGGUGGUGCCCAAGCAGUGGGGGAGUCCUCACUCUUGCAUCACUAAAAGAAGUGAGAUGCCCAAGUUCACAGGUCAGUGGAGGAGUGGGUUGUGCCUCCCUCUGUACAGCCAUUCCGGAAAGGAUAUGACCUGUUUGCCAACUGUGGCCCCUGCAUGAGGAAGCCCCAUGGACGAGAACACCUAAUAAAAGAAAUACAGGCAUGGAGUCAGUGAUCAGAGGGGGCUCUUCCAAGGCUUAGGGGUGGACAAGGUGAGGGGGUCAUCUCUACCCCACCCCCUAAAAAGCACUAUGCUAACUUGAGGAAAACACAAAAGAGCUGUGCAGCUGAGAAAAGCCUAUCUGCCUGUCCGCUGGCUAACACUUUUAAGUGCCACCUACUGGAUCACAGCAGAAAAUACAAUACAAAAAUAUUUUGCCAGUACACAGCACCUGUGAAAACUAAGGCAAAGAUUAAGCAACAAAUAAACAUUCUGUACAUACUCGUGACCCUCUGAAAACACCCUAAAAAGAAGCCAACUGACUGUACUCAACUUACAUCACAGUUAAAGGAACACUAACCCUUACACAUGAAAAAGAAUCGAUGCAAAAACUCUGGCAACUCAAAAAGCCAGUGUGCCCCCUUACCUACAAACAAACACACUAGUCCCCCAGAAAUGGUUCUUAGCCAGAUUGAGAUGACUGAAAUGAUGGAAAUAAAAUUCAAGAUCUGGAUGGCAAGGAAGAUCGAUGGGAUCAAAGAGAAAGUUGAAUCCAAGGAACCCAGUAAAACAAUCCAGGAGCUGAAGGAUUAAACAGCCAUUUUAAGAAAGAACCAGCUGGGUGUGAUGGCUCACGCCUGUAAUCCCAGCACUUUGGGAGGCCAAGGCGAGUGGACUACUUGAGGUUAGGAGUUUGAGACCAGCCUGGCCAACAUGAUGAAACCCUGUCUCUACUAAAAUACAAAAAUUAGCUGGGCGUGGUGGCACACAUCUGUAAUCUCAGCUACUUGGGAGGCUGAGGCAGGAGAAUCACUUGAACCCGGGAGGUGGAGGUUGCACAGGCUGGAGUGCAGUGGCACGAUCUCGGCUCACUGCAAGCUCUGCCUCCCAGGUUCCCACCAUUCUCCUGCCUCAGCCUCCCGAGUAGCUGGGACUACAGGUGCCCGCCACCACGCCCAGCAAAUUUUUUGUAUUUUUAGUAGAGACGGAGUUUCACCAUGUAAGCUAUGAUAGUCUCCAUCUCCCGACCUCGUGAUCCGCCUGCCUUGGCCUCCGAAAGUGCUGGGAUUACAGGUGUGAUGGCUCACGCCCAGCAUUUUUUUUUUUUUUUUUUGAGACAAAGUCUCGCUCUGUUGCCCAGGCUGGAGUGUAAUGGCACAAUCUCGGCUCACUGCAACCUCCCCCUCCCAGGUUCAAGCAAUUAUCCUGCCUCAGCCUCCUGAGUGGCUGGGAUUAUAGGCACCCACCACCAUGCCCAGCUAAUUGUUGUAAUUUUAGUAGAGAUGAGGUCUCACCAUCUUGGUUCGGCUGGUCUCAAACUCCUGACCUCAGGUGAUCCACCCACUUCAGCUUCCCAAAGUACUGGGAUUACAGGAGUGAGCCACCAUGCCCAGCCCCACAAAAAUUUUUAAAAAAGAAUUAAAAAGUGAAUAAAAUCUUUUGAGAAAUAUAGGACUAUGUAAAAAGACCAAACCUACAUUUCAUUGGCAUUCCCAAAAGAGAAGUAACUUGGAGAAUAUAUUUGAAGACAUAGUCCAUGAAAAAUUUCCCAAACUUGAUAGAGAGGGGAACAUACAAAUUCAAAAAAUACAGACAACCCUACAGAUACUACACAAGAUGACCAUCCCCAAGGCACAUAGUCAUCAGAUUCACCAAAGUCAAAGUAAAAGAAAGACAUCUUAAAGGCAGCUAGAGAGAAAGGUCAGGUCAUCUGUAAAGGGAACCCCAUCAGGCUAGCAGUAGACGUUGCAACAGAAACUUUACAAGACAGAGGAGAAUCAAGGUUUAUUUUCAGCAUUCUUAAAGAAAAUAAUUUCCAAGCAAGAAUAUUGUGUCCCACCAAACUAAGCUUCAUAAGUGAAGGAGAAAUAAAAUACUUUUCAGAUAAGCAAGUACUUAAAGGAGUGCUAAACAUGAAAACAAAGAACUGAAACAUGCUCCUUCAAAAACACACUCAAGGACAUAGCCUACAGAGAAUGUAAAGCCACCACACCACUAAGUCUACAAAAUAAACAGCCAACAACAUAAUGACAAGAUCAAAAUCUCAUAUAUCAAUACUAACCCAGAAUGUAAAUGGUCUAAAUGCCCGACUUAAAAGGGAUAGCAUGUCAAGUUGGACAAAAAGACAAGCCCCGAUAGUCUGCUGUCUUCAAGACACCCAUCUCUCGUGUGAAGAUACUCACACGUUCAAAGUAAAAGUAUAGAGUAGAUCUACCAAGCAAACAGAAAACAAAAAAGAGCAGGAGUCAUUAUUUUUAUAGCAGAUAAAACAGAUUUUAAACCAACAACAAUCAGGAAGGAUAAAGAAGAGCAGUACAUGAUGAUAAAAGGUUUAAUUCAACAAGAAGACCUGACCAUUCUAAACAUACACGUACCCAAUAUAGGAGCACCCAGAUUCAUAAAACAAAUUUUUCUUGACUAACAAAAAGACUUAGACAGUCACACAAUAAUAGUGGGGGACCUUAACACCCCACUGGCAGUGUUAGAUCAUCAAGGCUGAAAACUAACAAAGAAAAUCUGGGCUUAAACUCGACAUGUGACCAAUUGAACCUAAUAGAUAUCUACAGAG
rnacentral:lncRNA from 1 species